rnacentral:rRNA from 1 species
AGCUCCAAUAGCGUAUAUUAAAGUUGUUGCAGUUAAAAAGCUCGUAGUUGGAUUUCUGGCGUCGCCGCCCGGUUGGCCUCGAAAGGGGUAUGUACUGGGGCGCGCGUUGCCAUCCUCGGGGGAAGGCCGUCUGGCAUUAGGUUGUCGGGCGGUCGACGCUCGUCGUUUACUGUGAACAAAUUAGAGUGUUCAAAGCAGGCUUAGGCCGUUGAAUACAUUAGCAUGGAAUAAUGAGAUAGGACUUUGGUGGUCUAUUUUGUUGGUUUGCACGCCGAAGUAAUGAUUAAUAGGGGCGGUUGGGGGUAUUCGUAUUCAAUUGUCAGAGGUGAAAUUCUUGGAUUUAUGGAAGACGAACUACUGCGAAAGCAUUUACCAAGGAUGUUUUCAUUA